rnacentral:lncRNA from 1 species
GACCCUCCAAAUGAAUAUGAGCCGUCGGAUCAAACCGACCUUAAUCGCAUGGUUUUCCUUAAUCCUUUAGGUCGGUGGAGCAUAAUCCGUGAGGUGGAGCCUGAUUGGCUGAGACACCUGGGCGGGCACCCAAGGGGGGAGGGCGGGCGCCCUACCCCCAGGCCCGCUCGGCCUCCCAUUGUUCCUGUGGCUUCUGGAGUCUUCUAGAUGAUAGAAAAUUACGCGGCACGUUAAUAUCUCUAUGUAAACCCGACAUGUGGGCCUUUCCUCCAUAUUUCCUGAUAACCCCCAGCAGAAAUAGACAAACACCAAAACUCGUGGAAUUCUGUCAGAUAAAACCCUAAGUCUGGGUGUUGGUUACAUUUGGAUCCUUUUCUUUAUUUUUGAUGAUUAUAUUUGGUACUUAAGGACCGUCAACAAACUCCCCCAAGCUUACCUCUUGCUCGUCCUUGAGCAAGGAUAGACUCAGUGAUGGAUCAGGAGCUGCUGCAAUGCCUUUGUAUGUUGACGGUUCACAUGCUUUCAAACAAGUUCUCAUCUCUGAGUGAAAGUAACUAUUAAGACUUAAAACUUACUUAUUUUACCUUCACCAUGGGGCUUGCAACCGUCACUUGUGUCUUCAGCAGUUAAAAGAUAGAACGGUCAAGUCAAGAGCCAUGUCUCUUAUUCUUGAUCAGCUAUAGCUCUGGAGUUUUUGCGGAUUUUCAAAUAAAACUCAGAGAUUCCUUGUAUGACUCUCUCAAAUAUCUCUUUUGUGGUAUUUCUGGAUCCUUUCCAAGGUAGUAAUGGUAUAUGCCUUCUCUCAAAGUAUGUGGUAUUUUUGGUAUGAGACAUAGUGAUAUUGCCUUCUCUCUCACCCUACUCUAAUAAGGUUUUGAUAUCUGGAGCUCAAAGGUGGGAGAUAAAGCAUACAUACUUACAAGACAUUUAUUGCAUAGUCAAACCAUGGAUCCAGAGAAACAAGUCAAUAAGUCAAAUCAAGAUGUGCAUGUGUGGCGAGUGAAUGGUGUAUGGUGAUGAUGGUGAUAAUAAUGGUGAAAGUCUAAUUCUACUUUUGCUCUUUCUAGGGGAUACAUACCUUUCUUGCACUUUGAAGCUUUUUUGAGGAGAAUGAGAUGCUCUAUAUUUUUUUUCUUUUCUCUCAGGUGGGUAUCUUGUACACCUAAUUCUACUGUCGGACACAUGUUCAUUUUUACCUCUCAUCUCACUUUUUCUUUUCUUCGAGGUUCCGGGCACUUGCCCCUUUUUAUUUCCUCAUAUUUUUUCCUUUUUUCAGAGCACUCACCCUCCUAGAAUAAUGUAGCAAGUGGUAGUAACCAAAAUAUCUCGAGCAUUUAUUUCAUAGGGAAUAACAGGGAUAGGAAAAAGUUUUUGGCUAUUCUCUCCCGGAUAGGAGUAGAAUAAUUUUUGGUGAAUUUGGAGAUGGAAGUGAGUGGAUGUAUGUGGAUGCGUACUUCUGGAGUAGAAGUAGCAUGCGUGAGUGAACGUGCAAGUGGAUCUUGAUUUUAACCGUAUGACAAGCUCCUAAGGGUCUACACAGCUUGACUACACUCAAUGCUCAUAAGUAGUAAAAAGUAAAUGUAUGGUUCUUAGUCUAAUAAGCAUGUAUGUAUGGUUGUGGUAGGAAUUUAAACUCUUAUCAUACAGGAACUCAUCAUGCAACAUUUUAAAGAUUUUCAAAGAUAAAAUUCUCCAGAAUUCUAGCAACUCUAGGAACAGAUAAACUGUUGCUCAACCUUUCCAUAUCAUUUCUGUUAACGACUUAGACUUUAGAUCAAGUACUCUUCCCACAAGUUCAGGUUUAGAGCAAAUCUUAAUUCAUAACAGUUAUGCCUAAACUUAAGAGAGAUUUCAAUUUUGAGAACUAGUCAUGGCAGAGCAACUAUUCAUCAUUUCCGUGUGAGAGCAUAUCAUGAGGGUUCAUAGCAAACUUUAUUUAUUUAUUUAUUUAGCAAACUAAGCAAAGAUAUAUAUAUAUAUAUAAGCACAAAAUCUUUUUUUGGGUUUUUAUGAUUAUGCAUCUUUUUAUUAUUUGAGUAAAGUAUAAACGUGAGUAGAAACACUUAGCUAGAUAAAUGGGGGUGCUCUCCCCCAAGCUGGAUUUUGACGUAAUUUCUUCUGAUGUAGCUAGCAGGUGACGGAGGUGUAUUUGAAUGUCGGUAGCACCCUGACAGCGAUUACUAUGUCCUCCGCCGGCUAGUCUUCUUUGAUCCUUGAAUUCUGUGGAGCUCAAAUAGACAACAAAGCUUUGUGGAACUGGUUAAGUGUUAGCAUAAAAUCUCUUAGCCUUUAUCAUAUUGAGAUUCCUCCUAAUAAAUUUUAUUUAUUUAGUUGGAUCAUGCACUUAUUAUUUUAUAUUUUUAUUGUAAGAUUAAAACAUAUUUAUUUUAUGCCACCAUAGUCAAUAUACCUAUGGGUUUUAAACCACAAGUCUACUCACAUGGGGCUUUAGAUUUUAUGAUGCAGUGCAACGAACAAAUAUUUUUUGUUUUCUUUUCUAAUGCUAAUAUGGAAAAGUAAAUAUGCUAAUGCAAGU